rnacentral:rRNA from 1 species
AGCGAACGUUUGCGGCGGGCCUAACACAUGCAAGUCGAACGGGCUAGCAAUAGUCAGUGGCGCACGGGUGCGUAACACGUGGGUAAUCAACCCUUCAGCUCGGGAUAACGCCUUGAAAGGGGCGCUAAUACCGGAUGCGACGCGAGGAGCCUCGGCGCUUCGCGGGAAAGAUUCGCAAGGAUCACUGAAGGACGAGCCUGCGGCCCAUCAGCUAGUUGGUGAGGUAAGAGCUCACCAAGGCGAAGACGGGUAGCUGGUCUGAGAGGAUGAUCAGCCACACUGGAACUGAGACACGGUCCAGACUCCUACGGGAGGCAGCAGUGGGGAAUAUUGCGCAAUGGGCGAAAGCCUGACGCAGCCACGCCGCGUGAGCGAUGAA